CUGGAAAUGAUGUCAGACGCAGCCACUCCUCUGUUAGAACUACAGCCAAACAAUGCGCAGGCAAUCCACAGCAGCUGCCCCUGCAAAUGUCAGCGCCAGCCCAGUCAAAAGAGCUUGAAACCUACCAAGCCGGAGGACUGUGCUGUGCCUCUCUCGCCCACAUUUUCCCCAAGCACUCUCAGGAACCUGGCAACAGUGUCCCCUUGUGGCCAAGCCUGGAACAUCACAUCUGUACGUUGCAAUCUGUGGAUCAGCUACGAGACUGAGAGAAAGGAAUGAAAGGAUGGAAGAAUUACAAGAUCAGGCACUGCUGUCUGUCUGUUCCACGGAUGUAACCACAGCACACGCGUGGCUCACGGUACUAGUGUGAUAAAUGCUUGUUACAUGAAGGCGUGAACAGGGAUGAGAAGAGACUUCCUGGAGAAACAAAAGGACUAACAAUCAGGAAGGGGAGGUGAUCGGGGCAGGAGUAAAGUGGACACCUCAGCAAAGCCAUUCGCUGUGAUCUCUGAUUGUGCAGUGUCAUGUCCUGUCACCAGAGCCCCCUCGUGUUUGAUGUUGGCCAAUGCCGCCAGCAUGAUCUAGCAGGCCAAAUCCUAAUCUACCAUUCUCUGACACCAGCUGGUCCCCUGGGUCGUCCACCCGAUGUCCCCCAUUCUCCCCACUUGGCCUCCCCCACAGGCUCUCGGCAAAGGACCGUGGGAGGCACCUGUGACACUGCCCUUUUCCUGUGCAGCUGUUUUUCUUCUUCAUUCUUUUCACUCCUCGUUACUCUUUUUUUUUUCACUCUCAGCCCACACAAAACUAGGAACUUUGUUAUUCUACUUAUUUUUCUGUACUCUGUCUGUUUGCACACAGAUGGAUAUCUGAGAGCCAGCGAACUUUCUUUACCUCCUAGUAUCAUUUCAUGAAAAUUAGUAGCACCUGCACAAUGGGGCCUUGGAGACAGGAAUAAAAGGAAAAAUCUGGAAUGGAAUCACAUGACGCAACAGGCUAUGAAGACUCCCUGCCCGGCUGCUAUAUGUCUGGUAAACAGAAUAAAUAGUACUUGAGCAUCCCUGACUCUGAGACUGUGGGGUAGCUGGUUGUUUUAAGAUGGGACCAGGGUAUUGUGCACUUAUUGCCAAUUCUUGCUUCAGUAAGUGGGGUGGCUGUGCAGAGUGAGUGGCCUGUGUAUGAACCAGGGUCCGUCCCAUCUAAUGAGAGUCCGGUCAGGCUGAGUCCUCACCAAGACUUCAGCGUGGAUUCAUCAGUAACCUUGGUUCACUGGCAGGCUUGCUGGACUUUGGAGAAAAGGCUGACCCUCCCCCAAAGCAGCCCAUUGCUGCCACUGCCCUAGGAACAGAGGGCCUGGAGCCAGGGCUUGACCUGGUACAGGAGCUUUUGCACAAGGCCGGCUCAAACCUCCAAACCUGGGGAAACAGGAUGCAUGGUGAAGUGAAGAAGAAAGAAAAUGCAUCCACCGUUCCUUCCUGUUGGUGUCAGCACGAUGAGGAAUAAUUACCUGGAUCUGGAAAGCAGGCGUGUGGGAGGCUGCAGGCCCCCCUGAUCUGUGUAGUUAGGCACUUAAUUUUUCAUCCUCCUCCUUCUCUCUGCCCUCCCGAAACCGCCGUUUUCAAAGGAAAAACAGAAAAACGUAUCUGGGUAACCCGUGUAAUACUGUUUACAUCAGCCCACUUGGCCCAGAAAGGAUACCAGCUCCUUACUGAUGCUCAGAUAACAGGGUUAGUGCUUAAAAAAAUUAUGCCUUGGGCCGGGUGCGGUGGCUCACGCCUAUAAUCCCAGCACUUUGGGAGGCUGAGGUGGGUGGAUCACAAGGUCAAGAGAUCAAGACCAUCCUGGCCAACCAACAUAGUGAACCUGUCUCUACUAAAAAUACAAAAAGUAGCUGGGCGUAGUGGCGCAUGCCUGUAGUCCCAGCUGCUCGGGAGGCUGAGGCAGGAGAGUCGUUUAGGCCUGGCAGGCGGAGGUUGCAGUGAGCUGAGAUUGCGCCACACUGCACUCCAGCCCAGGCGGUGGAGUGAGUCUCCAUCUCAAAAAAAAAAAUUCUGUCUCAUUCAUUAUCCAACUUUGUCACUGAUAGAGAAGGACAUAGAUCCAGAGAAGAACUUGUCCAGGUGACCCCAGGGCUCUUUCCCCCUCCAUUACUUUUUUUUUUUUUUUUUUUUGAGCCAGAGUCUGGCUCUGUCACCCAGGCUGGAGUGCAGUGUCACAAUCUUGGCUCACUGCAUCCUCUGCCUCCUGGGUUCAAGCUAUUCUCCUGACUCAGCCUCCCUAGUAGCUGGGAUUACAGGUGCAUGCCACCCCGCCCAGCUAAUUUUUGUAUUUUUAGUAGAGAUGAGGUUUUAACUUGUUAGCCAGGCUGGUCUUGAACUCCUGACGUCAAGCGAUCUGCCUGCCUUGGCCUCCCAAAGUGCUGGGAUUAAGGGCGUGAGCCACCGCGCCCGGUCCCCUCCAUUACUCCUUAAGUGUCCCUUAAAGACUGUAUUUAUUUAUUUGAAACAGAGUCUUGCUCUGUCACCCAGGCUGUUGUGCAGUGGCAUGAUCUUGGCUCACUGCAACCUUCUGCCUCAGCCUCCUGAGUACCUGAGACUACAGGCGGGCGCCACCACACCCGGCUAAUGUUUGUCUUUUUGGUAGAGAUGGGGGUUUCACCAUGUUGGCCAGGCUGGUCUCGAACUCCUGAUCUCAAGUGAUCUGCCCCCUUCAGCCUCCCAAAGUGCUGGGAUUACAGGCGUGAGCCACUGCGCCCAGCAAAGACUGUGUUUAAAAUACUACCUUUCUGUUAGGUACUUGUCAUUUGCCAAAAUUAAAUAAAAACAGUCUAGGAACCUAGGAACCUGUGAAGUCAGUACUAAAAUCUAUACCAAUUUACUCCACAAACCCCCAUCCUCCUCCUCGUUGGUUGAGUGUUUAAUAAAGCCAGGCGCUUUACCUAUAGUCUCAUUAAAUUAAAAACAAUCCUGCAUAGGAAGUCAGGAUCUCAAUUUUGCAGAUGAAAAGGAGGCUUAUCUGGGCAUGCCCAGCAAGGUCUGGGGAACGCCCCUUAAUGGAGUACUUGAAUUUGUCUGCAGGGAGAGGUGGCAUCACCGCACUGUAAAUAGUUUCCGAGGUCAAGUUUGGCUAGUGGCUUUUAGAAUUGGGGCAGAAGGAUGCCAUCCUACUCCCACCUUCAGAGGCAUCUCAGGUUCUGGAGCUCUGUGCUAACUAAGCCCACCUGUGGAGGGUGGCAAUGGAGUGGUGACAGGCGUGCAAGGUUUCACGUCUUUAAAGAAAAGACAGCUCCAAGGACAGAGAGUUUUUUGUUGUUUGUUUUGUUUUUUGAGACAGUCUCACUCUGUUGUCAGGCUAGAGUGUAGUGGCGCGAUCUCGGCUCACUGCAACCUCCACCUCCCGGGUUCAAGCGAUUCCCCUGCCUCAG
rnacentral:lncRNA from 1 species